AGAGUGUCGCAAUAGUAAUUCAACGUAGUACGAGAGGAAUCGUUGAUUCGCAUAAUUGGUCCUCACGCUUGGUUGAUAAGCCAGUGGCGUGAAGCUACCGUGCACCGGAUUAUGACUGAACGCCUCUAAGUCAGAAUCAGGGCUAGAAGCGACGCAUACACCCGCCUUCCGCUUGCCGACCCGCAGUAAGGGCCUCUGGCCCCCAAGGGACGUGUCGUUGGCUAAGUCAUCGCGGCGGAAGAGCGGUGGCCGCCUUGAAGUACAAUUUCCAUCGAGCGGCGGGUAGAAUCCUUUGCAGACGACCUAAAUAUGCGACGGGGUAUUGUAAGUGGUAAAGUGGCCUUGCUACCACGAUCCACUGAGAUUCAGCCCUUUGUCGCUCCGAUUC
rnacentral:rRNA from 1 species